rnacentral:sRNA from 1 species
AAUAAGCGGAGGAAAAGAAACCAACAGGGAUUGCCCUAGUAACGGCGAGUGAAGCGGCAUCAGCUCAAAUUUGAAAUCUGGCUCUUUCAGGGUCCGAGUUGUAAUUUGCAGAGGGCGCUUUGGCGUUGGCAGCGGUCCAAGUUCCUUGGAACAGGACGUCACAGAGGGUGAGAAUCCCGUACGUGGUCGCUGGCCUUCGCCGUGUAAAGCCCCUUCGACGAGUCGAGUUGUUUGGGAAUGCAGCUCUAAAUGGGAGGUAAAUUUCUUCUAAAGCUAAAUACUGGCCAGAGACCGAUAGCGCACAAGUAGAGUGAUCGAAAGAUGAAAAGCACUUUGGAAAGAGAGUCAAAUAGCACGUGAAAUUGUUGAAAGGGAAGCGCUUGCAGCCAGACUUGCCUGUAGUUGCUCAUCCGGGCUUUUGCCCGGUGCACUCUUCUGCGGGCAGGCCAGCAUCAGUCUGGGCGGUUGGAUAAAGGCCUCUGUCAUGUACCUCCUUUCGGGGAGGCCUUAUAGGGGAGGCGUAAUGCAACCAGCCUGGACUGAGGUCCGCGCAUCUGCUAGGAUGCUGGCGUAAUGGCUGUAAGCGGCCCGUCUUGAAACACGGACCAAGGAGUCUAACAUCUAUGCGAGUGUUUGGGUGUCAAGCCCGAGCGCGUAAUGAAAGUGAACGGAGGUGGGAUCCCUUUAGGGUGCACCAUCGACCGAUCCUGAUGUCUUCGGAUGGAUUUGAGUAAGAGCAUGGCUGUUGGGACCCGAAAGAUGGUGAACUAUGCUUGAAUAGGGUGAAGCCAGAGGAAACUCUGGUGGAGGCUCGCAGCGGUUCUGACGUGCAAAUCGAUCGUCAAAUUUGGGCAUAGGGGCGAAAGACUAAUCGAACUAUCUAGUAG